GUAUAUGGAGGUCCCCCCUCCAGUGUCUGUGAGUAGCUGUGUCGGGCUGGGUUGUGCCUGGGGAUUGGAGGGCCCCUGCCGUGGUAUCUUCGCACAAGGAUGGGUAGUGGUUCCCGUGGGGGGAGGGGGCAUUUGGUCGGGUAUUCCCGGGGGUUUGUUGCCGUUUGGUAAGUUGUCUCCCCACUAGUGGCCUGUUACUUACCUGCGGAGGCUUGCAGUGGGUCUCCGACCUUCUCCUCCCUGCAUUCCAGACUG